GGAUGCUUUAGUGGUCAUCCCCAACAUUGUCUCUUAAAACACUAGGUAAAUGUGAUUUUCCAGCAGUUGAGGUGGAUGAUGACAAUAACCAAAGUUAAGGCUUAAAGGCUUUGGAAAUAGAAAGAUGUGAGCAGCUAUUAAGGUGUUAAGGUGCUCUGGAUCCAAGUACUACAUAUUUGUAAACAUGAAAGCACCAUGAAGAUCUGCUGAGAAAAGGGUUGAUGCUAACUGAGCCUUCCUGCAAAAAGUAGAUCGAAUUAAGGAUGGUGACCAAGAGCUUAAAAGGAUUGUGGAUGCUAGCUAUUGUACAUCACAUCCCUCAGUUUCUUCCUUAUAAAAAAGCACAACGUCUGAAUUAGUAUCUUAGUAGUCAGAUAUAAGUGUACUGUAGUUUACCCGGUCACCUUGAUGAGUUUCAUCAUGUAACUUUCUCACAUACCAUCCAUUGGCUUACACAAUUCAAACCUGCACUCCAAACACAAGCGUAUCAGAGUCACAUGAGCUAGUUCAGUCUCUAUGAAAUGCUAUAAGAAAGAAGAAUUCACUUGUGGAGAUCUUGAGGGAGAUUCAAAGCACCAGAUUUCUUGAGUCGCUUCAUAGAUAUAUAUACAUUUUUUUAGAACGUUUUGAAUUCAUCUGUGAUGCUUUCCUAGAACCGGAGCUGAAGAAAAUGUGACUGACCAAAAUUAUCAAGAAGGAUGUAGUUGUUCUCCUCCACCUUCUUCUCAUUGUUACUUGGCAAGUACUUUCGAGCAGAGUCGCCGCUUUGAAGGAGACUAUGCAAGACCUUGUCAGCUCUACUCUUCUUCCCACGAGCAAACCAAUACAGGAGAACAAUGUGGUUUACCUUAGCAUUGGUUACCAGCAAGACUCUCAUCUACAGGGUGGAACAAUCUUGUAUAUGCAAAAAACAUCAUGAACAAAACCUUUUGUGAUUGAUCUCUUUGUUGGAGUAGGAAGUGAAGCAGCUUUUAAGUGGUGGUUCUUUAAGCACCACAAGUUGCGUUAUUGCCUUUCUCGUUCUUCUGCUGUUGUUGUUGACAAAGCUGAUCCCUUUCAAGCCUUUGUUGGAUAAGCAUCCAUUGAGCGGCUUUUGGGAUCAUGAACAACCAUGUUUGUAGUUGUCUGAAGUCGACCUAUGUACCCAAGAGAUGCUGUUGAAGGAGAUGAUCACGUGUACCCUAGAAACACUCACUUGACAUGUUUUUCUAACGUCUGAGAUUAAUUGAUAAGAGGGGUAAAGAUAAAUUAGUGAUACCAAGAAACCAAUAAUGCUUGCACACAAAAAAAAUUCACAUUAAGAGUGAUUAGAGAAAUGUCAGAGACUAACACAAGCACUACAUCAGAGAGCGGAUACAAACAAAGAACCACGCUCAAUCAUAAUCAUACAA